UGAUAUCCCAACACACAGAGACAGUAAAAUGUUCCAGUUGGCAUUCCUAACUCUAUGGGCAGCUCUCUGCCCUCUCCAUCUUCCAGAUGCAAUUUGUGGGUAGUGACCUACUCCACAAAAAGGAUCAGUGAAGUGAAGACAGCUAAAAAAUCUCCAUAAUAGUUCCCUGGGUGAAGGACAACCUCACCCUCCAGAGCUAGACCUGCCUGUAGCUAAGGCUGUGUUGAUUUUAGAGAGAAAUUUCAGCAGAUAUAGACCAGAGUUCCUGGAGCUCCAGUGAUGGAGAAAACAGAGAGCAUUCCCAGCAUCGUCCUGGUCAUGCAGACUGCUACACUGUUGGGCUUUGACAGCUGCAAGUACUCAAAGGACAGUUUGAAGGACAGUAGCUGAUAAGCUGAAGGCCCCUUCUGGGAUCAGAAUCUCUAAAAGUGGUGCACUGUCACAGAUCUUACAGACGUGACACAAAAUAUAGAUAUGCAACAGCUUUAUUUUGCAAGCUAAAGGAAGGAGGAGGAACAAUAAGGACAACAGUAUAAACUCAAGCCUGAGAGAAGUUUCUGUGCAGGUAUGCCUGAAGUCAAUGGGCUGUGGGAGGUAAAUAAAUACCAUAGACCAUAGUCUGAGGGUGCA
rnacentral:lncRNA from 1 species